GACGAAGGAUGCAAGCGUUAUCCGGAUUCAUUGGGUUUAAAGGGAGCGUAGGUGGCCUUAUAAGUCAGUGGUGAAAUCUUCGAGCUUAACUCGGAAAUUGCCAUUGAUACUGUAGGGCUUGAGUAUAGUUGCCGUUGGCGGAAUAUGACAUGUAGUGGUGAAAUACAUAGAGAUGUCAUAGAACACCGAUUGCGAAGGCAGCUGACGAAACUAUAACUGACACUGAGGCUCGAAAGUGCGGGAUCAAACAGG
rnacentral:rRNA from 1 species